rnacentral:rRNA from 1 species
UACGGAGGGUGCAAGCGUUAUCCGGAUUCACUGGGUUUAAAGGGUGCGUAGGCGGACAGGUAGUCAGUGGUGAAAUCUCUGGGCUUAACCCAGAAACUGCCGUUGAUACUAUUUGUCUUGAAUAUCCUGGAGGUAGGCGGAAUAUGUCAUGUAGCGGUGAAAUGCUUAGAUAUGACAUAGAACACCGAUAGCGAAGGCAGCUUACUACAGGAUGAUUGACGCUGAGGCACGAAAGCGUGGGGAGCAAACAGG